CCCAUUGCUUCCAAAAGUCUCUUAUCACCUCUUACCGAUACCUUAUUCAGGAUCUCCUCAUGGCCUAUUUCCUAUACUACGUCGCUACAAACUAUAUAGAUCUCCUUCCUCGCCCCCUCAACUAUUUGGGCUGGGCUGCUUACAUCGCAGUUCAAGGUUGUGUCCUUACUGGGGCUUGGGUCAUCGGCCAUGAAUGCGAUCACCAUGCAUUUAGUGACUACCAAUGGGUUGACGACCUUGUUGGUCUUGUAGUACACUCCUCCCUCCUCGUGCCUUAUUUCUCUUGGAAAAUUAGCCACCGUCGUCACCAUGCCAACACUCAAUCUCUUGAAAAUGACGAGGUUUAUGUCCCGAGAUUCAAGUCCAAUAUCCGAAACUAUUACAAGAUAUUUAACAAUCCACCUGGCCGAGUCCUUGUUUGGCUUAGCACACUCCUUAUAGGUUUCCCUUUAUACUUGAUGUUUAACGUAUCUGGACACAAAUAUGAAAGGUGGACCUCCCAUUAUGAUCCUCAUAGCCCACUUUAUUCUGACCGUGAGCGAAAAGAGAUUAUUAUUUCUGAUGUUGCUAUUCUUACUGUUAUUUAUGGACUAUAUCGUCUCGUAUUGACCAAAGGUUUUGCAUGGGUUUUCCACGUGUAUGGAGGUCCAUUGCUUGUUGUUAACGGGUGGUUCGUAUUGAUUACCAUAUUGAAUCACACCCACCCAUCUUUGCCUUAUUAUGAUUCUACCGAGUGGGAUUGGUUGAGGGGAGCUCUAUGCACAGUUGAUAGAGAUUAUGGUAUCCUCAACAAGGUCUUCCAUAACGUGUGUAAUGCUCACGUUUGUCACCACAUAUUCUCAUCAAUCCCACAUUAUCAUGGACUGGAAGCUACCGAAGCCAUGAAGCCCAUAUUGGGAGAUUAUUAUCAGUAUGAUGGUACUCCAAUUCUUAAGGCCAUGUAUAGAGAAAUGAAGGAAUGCAUUUAUGUUGACAAAGAUGAAGGUGAAACAAAAGGAGUCUAUUGGUACAGAAGUAAGUUUUGAUAAGAUGACCGGCAAGCAAAGGCAAAAGCCCUUGGAGAAAGAGGCUGAUCAAUACUUGUUACUGCAUAUUUUGUCUUUCAUUUCCUAGUAAUCUAGUUGAUUUAGUUGUAUGUGAUGAACAUAUAACGUUGUUGAUUAUAUCAUAUAUAUAUCCUAAAUGUAGUUUUUUGUGUUCAGGUAUUUUCCCCUUGGAUUGUAUUGCGAAGCGUUUGAUUCCUACGUACUAAGCUGAUGUUGGGAUUUGAAACCCAAUAUCUAUGUAAUAAACAUUAAGACCUAAUCUCAUGUUCAAUAUAAUUCCUUCAUUUUUAGAGUUUUUAGUCUGAAUCUUUUCUGCCUUUAUUUUAAUGCGUUCAAAUGUAUGUUUCGUAUUGUUUUUAUCUUUCGUAAGGAUACCAUUAUUAAUUCUCAUUCUAUUCUAAUUUAUAAAAUCACUAUUAAUUUUUAAAAUGUAAAACGUUAUCACUAUUAAUUUUUAAAAUGUAAAACGUUUUCAAACUCAAAAUUGAGGUGAUUUUUAAAUUAUAAAAUAAUAAAUAUUAUAUUUUUUAAAUAAUUAAUAAUAUUUAUUAUUGUAUUGAUUAAAAUUUAAAAUUUUAAUAUCAAUUUUAAGUGUUAAAUGUCUUGAUUUGACUUUAAAGAUUCAACGGUGAUUAUAUAUUUUGGAAUUGAAGAAAUACUUUGUCGGGGAAAAACUGAAAGAAGUUCGUAAAUUAAUUGAAUAGCCUUUCUCAAAGUACUUUAUAAUGAGACGAGGAACUCGGCUUCAGAGAGAGAGUAGCCAAACCGGUUACCCUCAAUCAUUGGACAAUUUCUAUAAGAGUAAUUAAAUAUUUUUUUUUGUCUCAAAUCACAUGACAUUAUCAUAAUUUAUAAUAUAAUUAAUCACAUAAAAUAUACUCAAUUAAUUAAUAUUAUGAUAACACAUUAUUUAAGAUACUUUUUGAAAUCAAAAUUUUGAAACCCUAAACACAGAAAAACCAAGAAAAUAGUUGACACAUGUUAUGUGUGAGUACUAUAUUUAAAGAGAGAGGUAUAUAGGCAUAGUUUUUCUCUAACAGAAAUUAGUAGUUUAUUGAUAGUUAUCCAGCACUAACUGAUCAGUUAAACUUGAAUUUUGUGUUUUUUCUUCUAAAUUAUUUAUGUGGACUAAUCUUUUACUAAGUUAGCUUAGAGAUUCGUGUUGGGAUAUAGACGUACGUAGGGUAUUUGUGUUCGGACCACAUAUAUUAAUUCUUGUCUUAUAAAUUUAUUUCGCAUCACAACUAGCUAAGACAUUUACAGCCGCUAUAGAUUUGAUUCUUUUUGUUUCACUCGAUCGAGACCAUAGUAAUUGUUGCUUUAAAAAUGUUCCUGUUUUAUAAGAAUUUAACUUUGCAAGCACAUUACUCCAUAUAGGUACUAUAUCCUUCCAUUCCUAUCCUACCACUGAUGGCCCUUAUAGCAGUACCAUCGAGGCUUUUAAGCUGACCUCGGGUCAUCGUCAGGAAGUAUAUAUGACUCCAGCUCAUCUGACUUCGGCUCAUCCCGAAAAUAUAUAUGACCCCGUUCUCAAGUUUAUCAUUAUUAUUAAUUUCAUUAUCAAACUUUUAUUAUUAAAGUAAACAAUCAAUAAAUUUCAGGGUAACUAUGAAAAAAAACAAGCAUCUUAAAAAUAAUUAAGUGUUGCAAAUAGGAUUAUACAUUUUUUUGAAAUGGAGAGACUAUUACUUUUAAUUGCAUUCAAAAUAACAACAAUCUAACAUGUUAUUAACUGAGGCUAUAUAUAAGUCCUACUUUUCAGUUAUUAUUAUUUUUAAAAUAAAAAUUAAGAUAUGCAUUUAAUAUUUGAAAAAUUAAUUAUAGGUUCUAUUUGUAACAUGUGUCUAAUUCAUUUAAAUUUUAUAAUAGGCAAAAAUGUGAUUCGCAUCAGUUACCCUUUGAGCCGUCAAUUUUAGUAGGCUUGGUUGAAUAGUAAUGAUAUGAUGUGCAUAAUUUGCUAUACGCACAUGACGGGGGAAAAAGCGACCCAAAUAAGUAAAAACAAUUGGCUGGCGCGCCCGCCAAAAGAGACCUGGCAAACAGUAUUCUUAAUUAUCAAAUUAUUUUGUAACUCCAAUAUUCAAAUUCAUCGGCCGCCCUAAGUGAAGCAGUAUUGUUAAUCCACAAUUACGUCCAAGUCUGUCCAAACUACAUACUUGUUUGUGGCGGGCGGAGUAGAAGCUAUAAAUAACUCUACUCCUACUUUAUUUUCUGCACACAACAUAAACACUGAAGAAUUAAGAGGGGAGAGUGAGGACUGAGGAGAGAGAGGCUAACUCAAAGAAAGAGCUUCUCUACCUUCCUGGUAUGUUCUUACUCCUUAAUAAUUACCCCCAACACCACAACACAUUAUUGCAAAGUUACAAUUAUAUAGCCACAUAUAUACGUAGAAUUAGUAGAAUGCAUGUCCUUUCAUAUAUUUAAUUUUUGUCUCCAUGUUACCUUUUGAUGAACAACAUUAAUUAUUCCAGUUCUAACCCUACUUUUUCCAAUUUUUUUUUUUUUUUUGCACAGAACGUUUGAAAGAUGGGUGCAGGUGGUCGCAUGUCGGACCCGCCUAGUGGCAAGAAGACCGCAGCUGAAGCCCUUCGACGGGCUCCUCACGAAAAGCCUCCAUUCACAAUUGGAGACUUAAAGAAAGCCGUUCCACCCCAUUGCUUCCAAAAGUCCCUUAUCACCUCUUUCCGAUACCUUAUUCAGGAUCUCCUCAUGGCCUACAUCCUCUACUAUGUGGCCACAAAUUAUAUCGACCUCCUCCCUCGUCCCCUCAACUAUCUGGGCUGGGUUGGUUACAUUGCUGUUCAAGGCUGUGUCCUAACCGGGGCCUGGGUCGUCGGCCACGAAUGUGAUCACCAUGCAUUUAGUGAUUAUCAAUGGGUUGAUGACC
rnacentral:lncRNA from 1 species